rnacentral:tRNA from 2 species
UAGUAAUUAGUUUAAAUUAAAAUAAGUGAUUUCGACUCACUAGAUUAUGAAUAAUCAUAAUUACUAA